GAUUUCUCAAGGUGUUGCACCUUUCUAGAACGACUCCCCUUUGGAUCUAGUGGUUUAGUUUGCUUGAGCAGUCAUGCACAAAUCACUUGUUGGGAGAAGUUCCACAUCGGCUCAUGGAGGCGGCACGGUGGUCAGUCACGUGGACAGUGCGGACCAACAUUUGUUCCUAUGCUCAGCUCCCCGCAAGGAUUCCCUCAGGUAACAACUCGCAACAAUUAGAUCCUAUUCUAGAGCAUUACAAUAUAUUGUACUUUUGAUGACCACUAUUGUUUCCUAAUAGUUGCCAAUCAGAGAUGAAUGAGUUAAUAAAGGGACAUAUAAUGUACAAAUUUAUGCCCACUGUGAGCUGCUUGACAUAUGAUGCCAAAUUUUGUUAUGUUCUUUGGCUAUUGGGAUGUACUAGCUUUUUUAGUAUUCUAGCAUUCCAGUGGACUUUUCACAGUAGCUACUGCUGCUACUUCUGAAGAUUUGUGUGUUCCUUGAUGAUUCAGAGUGAUGCUCCAGGUCAAAGUAAGAUUAGAAAAACCAUUACUUCAUUUCAAAUAAUUCAGGCAAUAUACUCUAGAUGAAAUCCCUUUUGCAAUUGGAAUUUAUAUAUUAUGUAGUUGUUCAGAAAGGGACGUCCUAUAUAUACUCUAAUGUUUUGUAGCGUGCAAUGAGUGGAGAAAUUCACCCAUAGGACAUAAAUGAUUAUGUAUCUUCCGGUUCUCUGCUCGCCGGUGUUUCAUGGUGGCAUGCAGUUGCCACACCUUCACCCCAGCCUGUUGCCUUGUGCCUCGAGUCAUGCAAUCACUCUGACUACAUAGCGUCUGAAUUCAAGUUAAUGUUGUCUUCAUUUGAUGUUAGGAUUAAGAUGGAUUAGUUGGGAUUUGGAAACAUGGCUAUUCCGAGCAAGGUAAUACAUGAGGUUAUUCCCUUUUUAAGCAUCACCGCAAGGAGGGUCUUAAAGCGAAGCUGUUUGUAUCCUUGUAUGGCAGACGCCUUAGGUAGAGCUUCCGGCACUUAGGGUCUGAAACAAUGAUGAAUCACAAGAUGCAUUUACUGGAAAAUAAUGAUGUAGGCAGAGAAUGAGAGGAAACUGAUUUGUGUUUUUGUUGCCUUUUGUUGCUCGGUUCAGUCAGUUCCUUCUAUUCCAUGUAAAAUGGUAAUACAAUUUUUAAGCCCCAAUGAAGAAAAAAUUAUAGUGAUGUUGGAAUUCGUAUAAAGAAAUUAUCUUUUGG
rnacentral:lncRNA from 1 species